rnacentral:rRNA from 1 species
AGAGUUUGAUCCUGGCUCAGGACGAACGCUGGCGGCGCGCCUAACACAUGCAAGUCGAACGAGCGAGAGAGAGCUUGCUUUCUCGAGCGAGUGGCGAACGGGUGAGUAACGCGUGAGGAACCUGCCUCAAAGAGGGGGACAACAGUUGGAAACGACUGCUAAUACCGCAUAAGCCCACGGGUCGGCAUCGACCAGAGGGAAAAGGAGCAAUCCGCUUUGAGAUGGCCUCGCGUCCGAUUAGCUAGUUGGUGAGGUAACGGCCCACCAAGGCAACGAUCGGUAGCCGGACUGAGAGGUUGAACGGCCACAUUGGGACUGAGACACGGCCCAGACUCCUACGGGAGGCAGCAGUGGGGAAUAUUGCACAAUGGGGGAAACCCUGAUGCAGCGACGCCGCGUGGAGGAAGAAGGUCUUCGGAUUGUAAACUCCUGUUGUUGAGGAAGAUAAUGACGGUACUCAACAAGGAAGUGACGGCUAACUACGUGCCAGCAGCCGCGGUAAAACGUAGGUCACAAGCGUUGUCCGGAAUUACUGGGUGUAAAGGGAGCGCAGGCGGGAAGACAAGUUGGAAGUGAAAUCCAUGGGCUCAACCCAUGAACUGCUUUCAAAACUGUUUUUCUUGAGUAGUGCAGAGGUAGGCGGAAUUCCCGGUGUAGCGGUGGAAUGCGUAGAUAUCGGGAGGAACACCAGUGGCGAAGGCGGCCUACUGGGCACCAACUGACGCUGAGGCUCGAAAGUGUGGGUAGCAAACAGGAUUAGAUACCCUGGUAGUCCACACCGUAAACGAUGAUUACUAGGUGUUGGAGGAUUGACCCCUUCAGUGCCGCAGUUAACACAAUAAGUAAUCCACCUGGGGAGUACGACCGCAAGGUUGAAACUCAAAGGAAUUGACGGGGGCCCGCACAAGCAGUGGAGUAUGUGGUUUAAUUCGACGCAACGCGAAGAACCUUACCAAGUCUUGACAUCCCUUGACGGUGCUGGAAACAGUACUUCUCUUCGGAGCAAGGAGACAGGUGGUGCAUGGUUGUCGUCAGCUCGUGUCGUGAGAUGUUGGGUUAAGUCCCGCAACGAGCGCAACCCUUAUGGUCAGUUACUACGCAAGAGGACUCUGGCCAGACUGCCGUUGACAAAACGGAGGAAGGUGGGGAUGACGUCAAAUCAUCAUGCCCUUUAUGACUUGGGCUACACACGUACUACAAUGGCGUU